GACGAACGCUGGCGGCGUGCUUAACACAUGCAAGUCGAACGGAAAGGCCCUGCUUUUGUGGGGUGCUCGAGUGGCGAACGGGUGAGUAACACGUGAGUAACCUGCCCUUGCCUUUGGGAUAACUUCAGGAAACUGGGGCUAAUACCGGAUAGGAGCUCCUGCUGCAUGGUGGGGGUUGGAAAGUUUCGGCGGUUGGGGAUGGACUCGCGGCUUAUCAGCUUGUUGGUGGGGUAGUGGCUUACCAAGGCUUUGACGGGUAGCCGGCCUGAGAGGGUGACCGGCCACAUUGGGACUGAGAUACGGCCCAGACUCCUGCGGGAGGCAGCAGUGGGGAAUAUUGCACAAUGGGCGGAAGCCUGAUGCAGCAACGCCGCGUGCGGGAUGACGGCCUUCGGGUUAUAAACCGCUUUCGCCUGUGACGAAGCGUGAGUGACGGUAAUGGGUAAAGAAGCACCGGCUAACUACGUG
rnacentral:rRNA from 1 species